rnacentral:lncRNA from 1 species
AUGCAACCUUAUAUUCCCUGGUAGGGUAAUCCUUGGUACUUAUACAAAGCCAAAAAUAUUGGUUACAGGAGUAUGUAGUAUCAAUGUAGAUCUAAGUUGGGUGACCAAUUUAGUAGUGUAGGUUCGUCUACCGAGUCAUCAAGCAUAGUACAGGGUCCUUGCCCUUGUGUGUCAUCUAUUGAGUUAUCUGUUUUGAUUUGGCCCGAUCUAAGCUCAACCUAAAAUUAGAAUCCAAAUUUGAUCACAGCGAAAGAUGCAAACUUAAUUGAAUUCUUAGAAAUUCAAUUCAGGCCAAAACCUUGUACCUUAACCUUAAUGUUUGUUGCCAGCUUUAGAGGGCACAAGAACACAAGCACGAGGAAUGGGCCAUAAAGCUGGCAGGUUCAAAUAUUAGGAUUACGAUUCAAUAAUUGAAUCUUCUAACAUAAUAGGAUUUGGAUACUGCAUGUCCUUAUCGGACACGGACUGCAGGAAGGUUUCAAAAGUUGUUUCUUCUUCCAGUUUUGGAUAGACCAAACAAGUUAUGGUUCC